UUUUCUUGCUCGAAACACCGACAGAAGCUUCUAGAUACUCUACUCUUGCUCUGCCUAGAUCGUUCACAACGUUGUCCGGUGUGUAAACUCUGAGCUGCAGAUCGAUGUUCAUGGAGAUGUGUCAUCAUCAUAUGUUUUGUCUAUAUGAAUGGAUACGUCCUAUACACUUACCGCUGGCGAGGACCAGUUUCCACGGCAAAGUGCAAAUGUCACAUUGGGCUCAGAGUAUCCAAGGCCAUCGGCUUACAUGUUCUGGUUCACCUGGAUGGCGUAAGAUGAAAUGCUCAAUGGCCAAAGCGUUCAAGACUAUGCCGCCCACGUUGAGCGAAGCCUGCCAAAGAAAUCGAGAGCGCCGUUAUGUUAUAGAAGUUUCUACAAGAUUUACCAUUUUCAUCACUCCGCGUUUGGAUCUAUGAAGUUACCUUGUUCAUCAAGGUAAGUAAUUUGUUGUGCGAUGAAGGUAACCCGUGCUCGAGAAAUGCCUGCAACAAAAAAUGUUUUGGAGGAUUAUUUUAAGCACCCAUAGGUUUAUAGUAUUCUCUAGAGAAAAAAGUUAUAUCUAUUUUGGAGAAUUUUUGCAGUACAUUCAUUACACAGGCGUUGUAGAUAUUGAUCCAGAAUGCAAGCUUCUGCUUGUAGGUCAAGAAGCUCAACUCAACCUCUGCUAGUUUCUCCAUCAGAACCCUGGAAAGCAUGAAAUGUUCAAACCUCUGUUAACAAAUGGUAAAGGCUUUGAAACCUCGUCAUCCGUCUGAAUUCAGAUCGGCUGGAUAGCUGUGAGGGGGAAUCAAAGUGAUAAAAAUGUGCAAAAGCAUCCUCAGUUUUGGACAAGUUACCUUAAUCGUGGGACAGCGGGCGAGCAGUAGUGGGUGAAACUGCUCACAUCAAGUGAGCUCUUAGUUAUGUGAAUGAAGUUAUUGUAAGGGCCAACAUCCCUAAUGACCCCGCUCGAGUCUGACAAAAUGCGCCUGUGGAAGUUGCAUUGAAGAAAUCGGAAGAAGCAUAAGCGAACGAGAACCUGGAGUGGGCCGAGGCUGAAUCUCUGGGAGCUCGUCGGUAGUAUUGGGACAUUGACCGAUGAUGCAGAUCGUGUCUGACAUGAUUUUGUCUGGUCAAGUUUCAGCUCCUGAAUUUGGCGGUCUAGACGAAGAAUCUCUGCUUCAACCGUUGCAAUUUCUGUGAUAAGCUCCUGAACCUGUCCUAUCAAUACCCAAAUUAAAGAUCACAACGCUUUCCUUUCACCAAUAUGGGUUUGGUGAAUCUAACGUUGAGAAAUCGGAAGUAGUAAGGUCUCGAUGUACUAGCCUGAGGCGGAAGAAGGGAAAAGGUGAGGCGUGGCUGUGAUAAGACGGUGCCAUUGACGGCAGCUCGCAAGGCUUUGUGGAUUGCUUGUUCAUGG